rnacentral:rRNA from 1 species
GACAGAGGGUGCAAACGUUGUUCGGAAUUACUGGGCGUAAAGCGCGUGUAGGCGGCCAUCUAAGUCGGGCGUGAAAUCCCACGGCUCAACCGUGGAAGUGCACUCGAAACUGGAUGGCUAGAGUCCUGGAGAGGGAAGGUGGAAUGCUUGGUGUAGAGGUGAAAUUCGUAGAUAUCAAGCGGAACACCGGUGGCGAAGGCGGCCU